rnacentral:rRNA from 1 species
UACGUAGGGGGCGAGCGUUGUCCGGAUUCAUUGGGCGUAAAGAGCUCGUAGGCGGCUUGGUUAGUCGGGUGUGAAACCUCCAGGCUCAACCUGGAGUCGCCACCCGAUACUGCCAUGGCUAGAGUCUGGUAGGGGACCAUGGAAUUCCUGGUGUGAGCGGUGAAAUGCGUAGAGAUCGGGAGGAACACCAGUGGCGAAGGCGGUUCUCUGGGCCUUACCUGACGCUGAGGAGCGAAAGCGUGGGGAGCGAACAGG